rnacentral:lncRNA from 1 species
CAGAGACGCCGCGCUCCGCCCCGAGGAGGCCGCCGGCCGGGUAAGCGGAGCCCGGAGCUCGCGGAGUCUGGACCGCAGAUGAACAUCUAAGACUCGUUUAGACAAACUGAUGUAGAGAAAAAUAAGAAACAUCAAAACAUACCGUGCCCUGACCUGGGCUUUAAUCCUCAUGAGGCCACACUGUUCAGAAUCGGCUGAGGGACUCUGUGGCAUUUCGGGGUGUCCUUGCUGACAGGGUAUUUGGUGGCCCCCAAGUUCCCUCCUCAGAGGUGGCAGCCGUGGGGGACCCUGCAGCAGCUGUAGUGGUGUGGGACUUGGUAGCGGGGUCCUGACGGCGGAGGACCCAGCACGUCUGUUCUCAGCGGAGCGGCUGCCCAUCUCCCCCUCCCCUCCCCUCCCCUCCCCCUUCUCUGCCCUCUGGGGGCUCCGCUCUGGGUGGGGGUGGCACCCCAGCCCUGCACGGGCGCUCUUUUCCCUUUCCUGUAUGCCUUGAUGAUUGUUAAUAAAACUUCUUCAAAGUUGGUUUUCCAAAUGUGGACGGUGUGGGAAUGAGACAUUUGAGUUAUUCCAGCUCCCUGUUUUUCUUCCAGAAAUGGAUAAUGGGCCCAUUUCACAUUGAAUUAAAAGGCUAUUAGGGCGUGCAAAUGGUGUGAGCAACGUGUCAUUUGCUGUUUC